GCAGCUUGCUGCUUCGCUGACGAGUGGCGGACGGGUGAGUAAUGUCUGGGAAACUGCCUGAUGGAGGGGGAUAACUACUGGAAACGGUAGCUAAUACCGCAUAACGUCGCAAGACCAAAGAGGGGGACCUUCGGGCCUCUUGCCAUCGGAUGUGCCCAGAUGGGAUUAGCUAGUAGGUGGGGUAACGGCUCACCUAGGCGACGAUCCCUAGCUGGUCUGAGAGGAUGACCAGCCACACUGGAACUGAGACACGGUCCAGACUCCUACGGGAGGCAGCAGUGGGGAAUAUUGCACAAUGGGCGCAAGCCUGAUGCAGCCAUGCCGCGUGUAUGAAGAAGGCCUUCGGGUUGUAAAGUACUUUCAGCGGGGAGGAAGGCGAUAAGGUUAAUAACCUUGUCGAUUGACGUUACCCGCAGAAGAAGCACCGGCUAACUCCGU
rnacentral:rRNA from 1 species